AUUACUUUUUCAUGCAGCGAAACGUCCUGUCUAGCUGCUACUAUUACUGCCAAAGAAACAGUACAUGGUUCUACGGCUACUAUAGCAGCAACGUGUCCAGCGCCUGCUACCUGGGAAAUCCAAGGCCACCCCAGUUUCUUGGAUGGUGUUGUAAUGGCGACUGCAUUGAAAAUCCACAUUGCCAGCAUUCAAGAAGCCUGCUGCUCUAAAGAAGUUAUUUGGUAAACUCAAAUAAUUGCACUGCUCACUAUGGUUAGCCAGAGACCUCUGAAUAAAUUGAAUGAAGCAUU
rnacentral:lncRNA from 1 species